GCGCUGGCGGCAGCCCAGGGUCCCCCGGCCUGGGCAGGUGGGGGGGGGGGGCUCCCGGAGGAAGCCGUGCUGUCACUCACGGACUCUGCUGAAUGCAGAUGCCCCCGAACCUGGUCGGAUUGUUUUCUCCGCGUCCCCUGCUGGGGCAGAUGUCGCAGGGGUGGACGUUUCUGCAGACACAGGCCUGGUGGGGGCCGGCACUGCAUUUUGUCUGGGGUUGAGCUUCUCGUGCAGAAGCUGGCGAAGCGAAGGAGGCCUCUGCUUAAACUUGACCUCCUGGCCACUCGGAGUGACCCCUCAGUGGCCGGGCCCCAGAGGGCUGGAGGGAAGCCCAGUGAACCUCUUGUGCCUCUGCCAGCUACAGCGGUGGGCGUGAUGUUGACCCCAUUGUGACAGCAACAGCCUCCUCCCAGUGGCUCUGGGAGGCCUUUGCUCAUUCCCGCUACACACGAGGAAACUGAGGCUCGGCGGUGGGGCUGAGCCACUGGCUUCCAGGUUCACCUAGCCCCAAGGGGUCUGGGCCGGGAUUUGAACGCAGCCCUCCNNNNNNNNNNNNNNNNNNNNNNNNNNNNNNNNNNNNNNNNNNNNNNNNNNNNNCCAUGUACCGCCCCUCCCCUCACUCCAUCUCCUUCAUGUCCCUGUUCCCAGCCCUGCACUGGCACCUACCCUGGGAGGGGGCGCUCAGCGGGCCCAUCCCCCUCCUGGAACCCCCCACCGGACCUCCCUGGAGUUUGUGACACUUUAUGGGGAUGGACACACUGAAGACUUUCUGUGGCCAAAAUUGCUCGAUGGGAGAGUGAACGGUACCUGCAUGGUGAUUUGUGGCCUUGACAAGUGGACGGUCAGGCCUGCAGACACUGGGUGCCUGGGAUCUGCUGUCCCGCACGCUGCCUGUCCCCCUGGCUUCCUGGUCCUGCCACAGCCUGAGGUCUCAUGAACGUGAGGAGCCGUCGCAACCUGCGAGCAGGUGGCAUCGCCCUGCUCCAAACCCACAAGUGCAGAGCAGACCAGCAGGUCCCAGCGAGAAGGCUGCUGUCCCCAGGGCCAGCCCUGCCCCCGAGGCCUCAGGGGUUGGCUCUGGGCUCACCAGACGCCCCGGCCUGCAAGGAGAGGACCCCGUCGAUUAAAAUACCAUCAUCUGUGAGAAGCAUUGGGUUGAAGGUGCCAACACAUUCACCUUGAAGGAUCAUUAUAAGCAACUCUGAAGGUUACAGGGAAUCUGAUGGAAAUCAGACCUAAAAAUAAUUAGGCCUUGUUAAACACACACACACACACACACACUGUGCAGAGAAAAACCAGGACAAAUGGACAGAUGGGGCUCAAAGACGUGGCGCGAUGGAGAAUCCACAUUCUGCACACGUUGUGUUUGCACGUCUGGGUAAUCAAAGCAUGGGACCGACCGGCUUGCUUUUCCAAUGUAUCUUACCAUGCACUCGUGUAAUUUGGAUAAACGAUUUCAGAAAUAGUUGUACUGUCUUUAAAAAGGUUUUGAAUAUAGGGGCACCUGGGGGGUUCAGUUGGUUGAGCGUCCGACUCCUAGUUUCCCCUCGGGUCAUAAUCUCAGUGUCACGGGAUCGAGCC
ensembl:lncRNA